CUACCCGGGUAUCUAAUCCCGUUUGCUCCCCUAGCUUUCGCGCUGCAGCGUCAGGAAGGGUCAAGUUUGCCGCUUUCGCCACUGGCGUUCCCACCGAUAUCAACACAUUUCACCGCUCCACCGGUAGUUCCGCAAACCCCUAUCCCCCUCGAGCGAUGCAGUACUGGGAGCAAUUCCACGGUUGAGCCGAUGGGAUUUCACUUCCAACUUACACCGCCGCCUACGCGCCCUUUAAGCCCAAUGAUUCCGAAUAACGUUCGCACGGUUCGUCUUACCGCGGCGGCUGGCAC
rnacentral:rRNA from 1 species